UACGGAAGGUGCAAGCGUUGUUCGGAAUGACUGGGCGUAAAGGGCGCGUAGGCGGGUUUUUAAGUCGGUUGUGAAAUCCCUGGGCUUAACCCAGGAACAGCAGCCGAAACUGAGAGUCUUGAAUAUCUGAGAGGUUAGUGGAAUUCCAGGUGUAGGAGUGAAAUCCGUAGAUAUCUGGAGGAACAUCGGAGGCGAAGGCGGCUAACUGGCAGAAUAUUGACGCUGAGGCGCGAAAGUGCGGGGAGCAAACAGG
rnacentral:rRNA from 1 species